rnacentral:rRNA from 1 species
UGAAGAGUUUGAUCCUGGCUCAGAUUGAACGCUGGCGGCAUGCCUUACACAUGCAAGUCGAACGGCAGCACGGGAGCAAUCCUGGUGGCGAGUGGCGAACGGGUGAGUAAUACAUCGGAACGUGCCCAAUCGUGGGGGAUAACGCAGCGAAAGCUGUGCUAAUACCGCAUACGAUCUACGGAUGAAAGCAGGGGAUCGCAAGACCUUGCGCGAAUGGAGCGGCCGAUGGCAGAUUAGGUAGUUGGUGAGGUAAAGGCUCACCAAGCCUUCGAUCUGUAGCUGGUCUGAGAGGACGACCAGCCACACUGGGACUGAGACACGGCCCAGACUCCUACGGGAGGCAGCAGUG